rnacentral:rRNA from 1 species
UUUGCUGGGUAGGGGAGCGUUCUGUAAGCCGUUGAAGGUGUGUUGAGAAGCAUGCUGGAGGUAUCAGAAGUGCGAAUGCUGACAUGAGUAACGAUAAUGGGGGUGAAAAACCCCCACGCCGGAAGACCAAGGUUUCCUAUCCCAUGUUAAUCAGGGUAGGGUAAGUCGGCCCCUAAGGCGAGGCCGAAAGGCGUAGUCGAUGGGAAACGGGUUAAUAUUCCCGUACCGACAUGAACUGCGAUGGGGGGACGGAGAAGGCUAGGCAAGCCGGGUGUUGGUUAUCCCGGUGAAAGUAUGUAGGUUGGUGGUUUAGGAAAAUCCGGACCGCUAAGACUGAGAUACGAGACGAGCAUCUACGGAUGCGAAGUUGUUGAUGCCAUGCUUCCAGGAAAAGCCUCUAAGCUUCAGGUUCAUGUUGACCGUACCCCAAACCGACACAGGUGGUCAGGUAGAGAAUACUAAGGCGCUUGAGAGAACUCGGGUGAAGGAACUAGGCAAAAUAGUACCGUAACUUCGGGAGAAGGUACGCCAGAGCUGGUGAAGUCCACACGGACGGAGCCGGAGCUGGCCGCAGUGACCAGGUGGCUGGGACUGUUUAUUAAAAACACAGCACUCUGCAAAAUCGAAAGAUGACGUAUAGGGUGUGACACCUGCCCGGUGCCGGAAGGUUAAUUGAUGGGGUUAGCGUAAGCGAAGCUCUUGAUCGAAGCCCCGGUAAACGGCGGCCGUAACUAUAACGGUCCUAAGGUAGCGAAAUUCCUUGUCGGGUAAGUUCCGACCUGCACGAAUGGUGUAACCAUGGCCACGCUGUCUCCACCCGAGACUCAGUGAAAUUGAAAUCGCCGUGAAGAUGCGGUGUACCCGCGGCUAGACGGAAAGACCCCGUGAACCUUUACUACAGCUUGGCACUGAACAUUGAACCUCCAUGUGUAGGAUAGGUGGGAGGCUAUGAAGCGUUGGCGCUAGUUGACGUGGAGCCAUCCUUGAAAUACCACCCUUGUAUGUUUGAUGUUCUAACUUAGCCCCAUUAUCUGGGGUGAGGACAGUGCCUGGUGGGUAGUUUGACUGGGGCGGUCUCCUCCCAAAGAGUAACGGAGGAGCACGAAGGUUGGCUAAGUACGGUCGGACAUCGUACGGUUAGUGUAAUGGCACAAGCCAGCUUAACUGCGAGACAGACACGUCGAGCAGGUGCGAAAGCAGGUCAUAGUGAUCCGGUGGUUCUGAAUGGAAGGGCCAUCGCUCAACGGAUAAAAGGUACUCCGGGGAUAACAGGCUGAUACCGCCCAAGAGUUCAUAUCGACGGCGGUGUUUGGCACCUCGAUGUCGGCUCAUCACAUCCUGGGGCUGUAGUCGGUCCCAAGGGUAUGGCUGUUCGCCAUUUAAAGUGGUACGCGAGCUGGGUUUAGAACGUCGUGAGACAGUUCGGUCCCUAUCUGCCGUGGGCGUUUGAGAGUUGAGAGGGGUUGCUCCUAGUACGAGAGGACCGGAGUGAACGAACCGCUGGUGUUCGGGUUGUCAUGCCAAUGGCACUGCCCGGUAGCUACGUUCGGAAUCGAUAACCGCUGAAAGCAUCUAAGCGGGAAGCGAGCCUCAAGAUAAGCUCUCACUGACAUGUAAUUGUCCUAAAGGGUCGUUGGAGACUACAACGUUGAUAGGCGGGGUGUGGAAGCGUAGUAAUGCGUUGAGCUAACCCGUACUAAUUGCCCGUGAGGCUUAACCAU